rnacentral:rRNA from 1 species
GACGAACGCUGGCGGCGUGCUUAACACAUGCAAGUCGAACGAGACGAUUGAAAGCUUGCUUUUGAAAGUCGAGUGGCAAACGGGUGAGUAACGCGUAGACAACCUGCCUUUGAGAUGGGGACAACAGUUCGAAAGGACUGCUAAUACCGAAUGUUGUAUAUUUUCCACAUGGAAGAUAUAUUAAAGAUGGCCUCUAUUUAUAAGCUAUCGCUCAAAGAUGGGUCUGCGUCUGAUUAGCUGGUUGGUGGGGUAACGGCCUACCAAGGCGACGAUCAGUAGCCGGUCUGAGAGGAUGAACGGCCACAUUGGGACUGAGACACGGCCCAGACUCCUACGGGAGGCAGCAGUGGGGAAUCUUCCACAAUGGACGAAAGUCUGAUGGAGCAACGCCGCGUGAGUGAAGAAGGGUUUCGGCUCGUAAAGCUCUGUUGUCGGGGACGAAUGUGCAGUAUUUGAAUAAAGUACUGCAAUGACGGUACCUGACGAGGAAGCCACGGCUAACUACGUGCCAGCAGCCGCGGUAA